CCUACGGGAGGCAGCAGUAGGGAAUCUUCCACAAUGGGCGAAAGCCUGAUGGAGCAACGCCGCGUGGGUGAAGAAGGUCUUCGGAUCGUAAAACCCUGUUGUUAGAGAAGAAAGUGCGUGAGAGUAACUGUUCACGUUUCGACGGUAUCUAACCAGAAAGCCACGGCUAAAUACGUGCCAGCAGCCGCGGUAAUACGUAGGUGGCAAGCGUUAUCCGGAUUUAUUGGGCGUAAAGGGAACGCAGGUGGUCUUUUAAGUCUGAUGUGAAAGCCUUCGGCUUAACCGGAGUAGUGCAUUGGAAACUGGGAGACGUGAGUGCAGAAGAGGAGAGUGGAACUCCAUGUGUAGCGGUGAAAUGCGUAGAUAUAUGGAAGAACACCAGUGGCGAAAGCGGCUCUCUGGUCUGUAACUGACGCUGAGGUUCGAAAGCGUGGGUAGCAAACAGGAUUAGAUACCCCUGUAGUC
rnacentral:rRNA from 1 species